AGCGAACGCUGGCGGCGUGCCUAAUACAUGCAAGUCGAGCGGACAGAAGGGAGCUUGCUCCCGGAAGUCAGCGGCGGACGGGUGAGUAACACGUGGGCAACCUGCCUGUAAGACUGGGAUAACUUCGGGAAACCGGAGCUAAUACCGGAUAGGUUCUUCCCCCGCAUGGGGGAAGAUGGAAAGACGGUUUAGGCUGUCACUUACAGAUGGGCCCGCGGCGCAUUAGCUAGUUGGUGGGGUAAUGGCCCACCAAGGCGACGAUGCGUAGCCGACCUGAGAGGGUGAUCGGCCACACUGGGACUGAGACACGGCCCAGACUCCUACGGGAGGCAGCAGUAGGGAAUCUUCCGCAAUGGACGAAAGUCUGACGGAGCAACGCCGCGUGAGCGAAGAAGGCCUUCGGGUCGUAAAGCUCUGUUGUCAGGGAAGAACAAGUGCCAGAGUAACUGCUGGCACCUUGACGGUACCUGACCAGAAAGCCACGGCUAACUACGUGCCAGCCGCCGCCGUAACAC
rnacentral:rRNA from 1 species